rnacentral:lncRNA from 1 species
AAGCCCAAGAUCAUCCUCACAUGUGGCACCAAGUAGACACGACUGGGAUCCACUGCUAACAGCUAUAUUUGCCACUGCUAACCUAGAUACACACGAGUUCUGUGUAAAAUGGGCAUCAAUGAGUAAAAGACUUGGAGGAUCGUUCUAAUUCUGAACUGAAAGCCUGCUCCCGGUGGAUUAGCUUUGUUAAUAUGCAAAGUUGUUGUGCAAACUACCAAGGGAGAAGAACAAUCAAUAGUUCUAUUUGACCAGCAUUGCAAGAAAAUCCUGAAGGUACACAGUGGCACCUUUAUCCUGUGUUAACCACCAGCCACUUAAUGGACAUAAGGGAGAGACAAUAAAAGGUAAUUUAUGUCUGACACUAUAAACAUCGCCAGAUAUCAUUGUAUGUUGAAGCCAUGGAACCUAGAAGAGGACCUAGUACUGCCGUGUUUCUCAAAGAGUUUAAGUUAACUGCAUUCUGAAUAGUUAUGGUUACAUCCACAGAUAAAUGUAGCUCUCACUUCUCUUCAAAGAAACCUGUCUUUGCAAUUCACAGAAAUCAUUACAGAGAGCCACAACUGGUCAAAAGGCAGAGAUCAACUGAACAAAAAAUGCCUGUCUCAAAGUGAUAUAUUUAAAACAUGACCUCUACACUCAAGGAUCAGGGAACGUGCCAGAAAAUGGAGCAAAAUGUUGGUAUGAUCCAGAGGACCAGAAUAUCUACAAAGCAAUAGUUUCUUCUUAAAAAACAAAUGGUAGAAAGUGAAGCUGGAUCUAGGAAGAGAUGGGAAGAAAAGAAGAGAGUGAAUGUGAUCAGUGUAUACUGUGAAAUUCUCAAAGAACUAAUAAAAUUAUUAUGU